rnacentral:rRNA from 1 species
UACAGGGGGGGCAAGCGUUGUUCGGAAUUACUGGGCGUAAAGGGCUCGUAGGUGGCCAACUAAGUCAGACGUGAAAUCCCUCAGCUUAACUGGGGAACUGCGUCUGAUACUGGAUGGCUUGAGUUUGGGAGAGGGAUGCGGAAUUCCAGGUGUAGCGGUGAAAUGCGUAGAUAUCAGGAGGAACACCGGUGGCGAAGGCGGGUCUCUGGGCCGUAACUGACGCUGAGGAGCGAAAGCGUGGGGAGCGAACAGG